rnacentral:rRNA from 1 species
UACGUAGGGUGCGAGCGUUGUCCGGAUUUAUUGGGCGUAAAGAGCUCGUAGGCGGUUUGUUACGUCGGAUGUGAAACCCCGGGGCUUAACUCCGGGCCUGCAUUCGAUACGGGCUGACUAGAGUUCGGCAGGGGAGACUGGAAUUCCUGGUGUAGCGGUGAAAUGCGCAGAUAUCAGGAGGAACACCGGUGGCGAAGGCGGGUCUCUGGGCCGAUACUGACGCUGAGGAGCGAAAGCGUGGGGAGCGAACAGG